GAUGAACGCUGGCGGCGUGCCUAAUACAUGCAAGUCGAGCGAACGGACGAGAAGCUUGCUUCUCUGAUGUUAGCGGCGGACGGGUGAGUAACACGUGGAUAACCUACCUAUAAGACUGGGAUAACUUCGGGAAACCGGAGCUAAUACCGGAUAAUAUUUUGAACCGCAUGGUUCAAAAGUGAAAGACGGUCUUGCUGUCACUUAUAGAUGGAUCCGCGCUGCAUUAGCUAGUUGGUAAGGUAACGGCUUACCAAGGCAACGAUGCAUAGCCGACCUGAGAGGGUGAUCGGCCACACUGGAACUGAGACACGGUCCAGACUCCUACGGGAGGCAGCAGUAGGGAAUCUUCCGCAAUGGGCGAAAGCCUGACGGAGCAACGCCGCGUGAGUGAUGAAGGUCUUCGGAUCGUAAAACUCUGUUAUUAGGGAAGAACAUAUGUGUAAGUAACUGUGCACAUCUUGACGGUACCUAAUCAGAAAGCCACGGCUAACUACGUGCCAGCAGCCGCGGUAAUACGUAGGUGGCAAGCGUUAUCCGGAAUUAUUGGGCGUAAAGCGCGCGUAGGCGGUUUUUUAAGUCUGAUGUGAAAGCCCACGGCUCAACCGUGGAGGGUCAUUGGAAACUGGAAAACUUGAGUGCAGAAGAGGAAAGUGGAAUUCCAUGUGUAGCGGUGAAAUGCGCAGAGAUAUGGAGGAACACCAGUGGCGAAGGCGACUUUCUGGUCUGUAACUGACGCUGAUGUGCGAAAGCGUGGGGAUCAAACAGGAUUAGAUACCCUGGUAGUCCACGCCGUAAACGAUGAGUGCUAAGUGUUAGGGGGUUUCCGCCCCUUAGUGCUGCAGCUAACGCAUUAAGCACUCCGCCUGGGGAGUACGACCGCAAGGUUGAAACUCAAAGGAAUUGACGGGGACCCGCACAAGCGGUGGAGCAUGUGGUUUAAUUCGAAGCAACGCGAAGAACCUUACCAAAUCUUGACAUCCUUUGACAACUCUAGAGAUAGAGCCUUCCCCUUCGGGGGACAAAGUGACAGGUGGUGCAUGGUUGUCGUCAGCUCGUGUCGUGAGAUGUUGGGUUAAGUCCCGCAACGAGCGCAACCCUUAAGCUUAGUUGCCAUCAUUAAGUUGGGCACUCUAAGUUGACUGCCGGUGGCAAACCGGAGGAAGGUGGGGAUGACGUCAAAUCAUCAUGCCCCUUAUGAUUUGGGCUACACACGUGCUACAAUGGACAAUACAAAGGGCAGCGAAACCGCGAGGUCAAGCAAAUCCCAUAAAGUUGUUCUCAGUCCGGAUUGUAGUCUGCAACUCGACUACAUGAAGCUGGAAUCGCUAGUAAUCGUAGAUCAGCAUGCUACGGUGAAUACGUUCCCGGGUCU
rnacentral:rRNA from 1 species